GUUAACCAGCAGCAUUGGAGACUUCACCCAGCUCAGUCAUCUGCAAGCUCUGAAUUGGAGGAGGUGAUGGGGGCAGAGCUGUCCGGCUGGCUUGGCACCCAUCUAUCCCAUGGCCAGCUCCUAAUGGACAGUGAAGAAGGAGGGGUGCAGGCCCUGGCUCCCGUGCCUUGUCCUGGCUGCUCAGGGUUGCUUCCAAAAGGAGGCCCAGGAAGCCAAACCCCUGCUUGACCUUCUGAAAUUGCAAAAUGGAAAAAGAGGAAGACAAAGACCCUGCCCCUGCAUGUGACCAGUCCAAGCUGGCCUGUUGGAGGGCGAGAGACCAUAUGGAGCAGAGCUGAGGUGUCCCUGCCUAGUCCAGCUC